AUUGAACGCUGGCGGCAUGCUUUACACAUGCAAGUCGAACGGUAACAGGUUAAGCUGACGAGUGGCGAACGGGUGAGUAAUGCAUCGGAACGUGCCCGGUCGUGGGGGAUAACGCAGCGGAAGCUGCGCUAAUACCGCAUACGAUCUGAGGAUGAAAGCGGGGGACCGUAAGGCCUCGCGCGAUCGGAGCGGCCGAUGUCAGAUUAGGUAGUUGGUGAGGUAAAGGCUCACCAAGCCAACGAUCUGUAGCUGGUCUGAGAGGACGACCAGCCACACUGGGACUGAGACACGGCCCAGACUCCUACGGGAGGCAGCAGUGGGGAAUUUUGGACAAUGGGCGAAAGCCUGAUCCAGCAAUGCCGCGUGCAGGAAGAAGGCCUUCGGGUUGUAAACUGCUUUUGUACGGAGCGAAAAGGCUCUCUCUAAUACAGGGGGCUCAUGACGGUACCGUAAGAAUAAACACCGGCUAACUACGUGCCAGCCGCCGCCGUAA
rnacentral:rRNA from 1 species